AACCGACAAGUACACGCCCCUUCUCGCACUCCACUAGCUAGUAAACUGAGCUACAAGGUGUGCCAGGCACCCAGGACGCCGAUUCACCGCUUCAGUGAAGGCCCAGCUCAAAUGCCACCUCUUCCAUGAAGACUUCCGUGAUCCACAAUGAUAGCAUCUCCAGCAAUUGCUUCUAUAAUAAAUAGCAUGAGUCAUUCUGCAGGAUAUUGAUCUUCCUUUUUUUACUCCUAGACUGAAUUUUUCCACCACCUGGAUGAACAUAGCAGAAAGAACAUAGUGUUUUAGAGUCAGACACAAUAGGAAUCAGGCACUUUGGAAUCUUGGCUCUGCCACCUUUGAGCUGUGCAUCCCAAAUCAAACACCCAUCAGACCUUUGCCAGGUGUCCAGCCUGGGCACUAUGUUUCAAAAAAUGAUGCACAUAGCAUCCCUAACUGAAAGGAGAUCACAGCUCAUUUGGUACAAAGUGGCUGAUUCUUUGACUGGUGAGCCACUCCCCAGGCAGGCAUAGCCUCACAGAGUUUCUGAGAAGGUACACCCUGGAUGCAAAGCGGUGUUGCUGAAAGACUCC
rnacentral:antisense_RNA from 1 species